rnacentral:rRNA from 1 species
AUUGAACGCUGGCGGCAUGCUUUACACAUGCAAGUCGAACGGUAACAGGUUAAGCUGACGAGUGGCGAACGGGUGAGUAAUGCAUCGGGACGUGCCCGAUCGUGGGGGAUAACGCAGCGAAAGCUGCGCUAAUACCGCAUACGAUCUGAGGAUGAAAGCGGGGGACCGUAAGGCCUCGCGCGAUCGGAGCGGCCGUUGUCAGAUUAGGUAGUUGGUGGGGUAAAGGCUCACCAAGCCAACGAUCUGUAGCUGGUCUGAGAGGACGACCAGCCACACUGGGACGGAGACACGGCCCAGACUCCUACGGGAGGCAGCAGUGGGGAAUUUUGGACAAUGGGCGAAAGCCUGAUCCAGCAAUGCCGCGUGCAGGAAGAAGGCCUUCGGGUUGUAAACUGCUUUUGUACGGAGCGAAAAGGUUCUCUCCAAUACAGAGGGCUCAUGACGGUACCGUAAGAAUAAGCACCGGCUAACUACGUGCCAGCAGCCGCUGUAA